rnacentral:tRNA from 1 species
GCGCCUGUAGCUCAGCCUGGAUAGAGCGAAAGGUUCCUAACCUUUAGGUCGAGGGUUCGAAUCCCUUCAGGCGCG